UACGGGGGGAGCAAGCGUUGUUCGGAUUUACUGGGCGUAAAGGGCGCGUAGGCGGCCACCGCAAGUCGACUGUGAAAUCUCCGGGCUUAACCCGGAACGGUCAGCCGAUACUGCGGGGCUAGAGUGCAGAAGGGGCAACUGGAAUUCUCGGUGUAGCGGUGAAAUGCGUAGAUAUCGAGAGGAACACCUGCGGCGAAGGCGGGUUGCUGGGCUGACACUGACGCUGAUGCGCGAAAGCUAGGGGAGCGAA
rnacentral:rRNA from 1 species